UAUAGGAUCAAACUCCUAGCCUUGGUGCCUACGUUAUGUAUGAGUUUGCAUAAUAGGGUGCCCUGGCCGUGGCUCUUGUGGUCACCAGGGUGCAGGGUAGAAAUGCCGGCAUCUCCCGUAUUUGGAAAGGUGUUUAUGGUGAGUCAAC
rnacentral:ncRNA from 2 species